AACGAACGCUGGCGGCAUGCCUAACACAUGCAAGUCGAACGAGACCUUCGGGUCUAGUGGCGCACGGGUGCGUAACGCGUGGGAAUCUGCCCUUUGCUUCGGAAUAACAGUUAGAAAUGACUGCUAAUACCGGAUGAUGUCUUCGGACCAAAGAUUCAUCGGCAAAGGAUGAGCCCGCGUAGGAUUAGGUAGUUGGUGGGGUAAAGGCCUACCAAGCCGACGAUCCUUAGCUGGUCUGAGAGGAUGAUCAGCCACACUGGGACUGAGACACGGCCCAGACUCCUACGGGAGGCAGCAGUGGGGAAUAUUGGACGAAUGGGCGAAAGCCUGAUCCAGCAAUGCCGCGUGAGUGAUGAAGGCCUUAGGGUUGUAAAGCUCUUUACCCGGGAAGAUAAUGACUGUACCGGAGAAUAAGCCCCGGCUAACUCCGUGCCAGCAGCCGCGGU
rnacentral:rRNA from 1 species